GAUGAAGAACGUAGCGAAAUGCGAUAAGUAAUGUGAAUUGCAGAAUUCAGUGAAUCAUCGAAUCUUUGAACGCACAUUGCGCCCGCCAGUAUUCUGGCGGGCAUGCCUGUUCGAGCGUCAUUUCAACCAUCAAGCCCCAGGCUUGUGUUGGAGCCCUGCGGCUGCCGCAGCCUCCCAAAACCAGUGGCGGGCUCGCUAUCACACCGAGUGCAGUAGUUUACUCUUCGCUCAGGGCGUGUGGCGGGUGCUAGCCGUAAAACCCCCAACUUCUCAAGGUUGACCUCGGAUCGGGUAGGAAUACCCGCUGAACUUAAGCAUAUCAAUAAGCGGAGGA
rnacentral:misc_RNA from 1 species